rnacentral:rRNA from 1 species
AGUGAACGCUGGCGGCAGGCCUAACACAUGCAAGUCGAGCGGCAGCGCGUCCGACCACCCUCGGGUGGUCGGAUGGCGGCGAGCGGCGGACGGGUGAGGAAUGCAUCGGAAUCUGCCUCGUUGUGGGGGAUAACGUAGGGAAACUUACGCUAAUACCGCAUACGACCUACGGGUGAAAGUGGGGGACCUUCGGGCCUCACGCGAUGAGAUGAGCCGAUGCCGGAUUAGCUAGUUGGCGGGGUAAAGGCCCACCAAGGCGACGAUCCGUAGCUGGUCUGAGAGGAUGAUCAGCCACACUGGAACUGAGACACGGUCCAGACUCCUACGGGAGGCAGCAGUGGGGAAUAUUGGACAAUGGGCGCAAGCCUGAUCCAGCAAUGCCG